rnacentral:rRNA from 1 species
AACGAACGCUGGCGGCAUGCCUAACACAUGCAAGUCGAACGCGUGUAGCAAUACACGAGUGGCGGACGGGUGAGUAACGCGUGGGAACCUGCCCAAUGGUAGGGAAUAACUGCGGGAAACUGCAGCUAAUACCCUAUGCUCCCUACGGGGGAAAGAUUUAUCGCCAUUGGAGGGGCCCGCGUCGGAUUAGCUAGUUGGCGGGGUAACGGCCCACCAAGGCUACGAUCCGUAGCNGGUCUGAGAGGAUGAUCAGCCACACUGGGACUGAGAUACGGCCCAGACUCCUACGGGAGGCAGCAGGUGGGGAAUAUUGGACAAGUGGGGGAAACCCUGAUCCAGCAAUGCCGCGU